rnacentral:rRNA from 1 species
UACAGAGGUCUCAAGCGUUGUUCGGAUUCAUUGGGCGUAAAGGGUGCGUAGGCGGCGCGGUAAGUCGGGUGUGAAAUCUCGGAGCUUAACUCCGAAACUGCACUUGAUACUGCUCUGCUUGAGGACUGGAGAGGAGACUGGAAUUCACGGUGUAGCAGUGAAAUGCGUAGAUAUCGUGAGGAAGACCAGUGGCGAAGGCGGGUCUCUGGACAGUUCCUGACGCUGAGGCGCGAAGGCCAGGGGAGCAAACGGG